rnacentral:rRNA from 1 species
UACGAAGGGGGCUAGCGUUGUUCGGAAUUACUGGGCGUAAAGCGUGCGCAGGCGGCUUCUCAAGUCAGGGGUGAAAGCCCAGAGCUCAACUCUGGAAUUGCCUUUGAGACUGAGUGGCUUGAGUACGAGAGAGGUGAGUGGAAUUCCCAGUGUAGAGGUGAAAUUCGUAGAUAUUCGGAAGAACACCAGUGGCGAAGGCGACACACUGGGCCAUUACUGACGCUGAGGCGCGAAAGCGUGGGGAGCAAACAGG